rnacentral:rRNA from 1 species
GAUGAACGCUGGCGGCGUGCUUAACACAUGCAAGUCGAACGAACCUUCGGGUCAGUGGCGGACGGGUGAGUAACGCGUGAGAAUCUGCCCUCAGGAGGGGGAUAACGGCUGGAAACGGCCGCUAAUACCCCAUAUGCCGAGAGGUGAAAUGAAUUUCGCCUGAGGAUGAGCUCGCGUCUGAUUAGCUAGUUGGUAGGGUAAAGGCCUACCCAAGGCUUCGAUCAGUAGCUGGUCUGAGAGGAUGAUCAGCCACACUGGGACUGAGACACGGCCCAGACUCCUACGGGAGGCAGCAGUGGGGAAUUUUCCGCAAUGGGCGAAAGCCUGACGGAGCAACGCCGCGUGAGGGAUGAAGGCCUCUGGGCUGUAAACCUCUUUUAUCAAGGAAGAAGAUCUGACGGUACUUGAUGAAUAAGCCACGGCUAAUUCCGUGCCAGCAGCCGCGGUAAUACGGGAGUGGCAAGCGUUAUCCGGAAUUAUUGGGCGUAAAGCGUCCGCAGGCGGUCUUACAAGUCUGUCGUUAAAGCGUGGAGCUUAACUCCAUUUCAGCGAUGGAAACUGUAAGACUNGAGUGUGGUAGGGGCAGAGGGAAUUCCCGGUGUAGCGGUGAAAUGCGUAGAUAUCGGGAAGAACACCAGUGGCGAAGGCGCUCUGCUGGGCCAUAACUGACGCUCAUGGACGAAAGCCAGGGGAGCGAAAGGGAUUAGAUACCCCUGUAGUCCUGGCCGUAAACGAUGAACACUAGGUGUCGGGGGAAUCGACCCCCUCGGUGUCGUAGCCAACGCGUUAAGUGUUCCGCCUGGGGAGUACGCACGCAAGUGUGAAACUCAAAGGAAUUGACGGGGGCCCGCACAAGCGGUGGAGUAUGUGGUUUAAUUCGAUGCAACGCGAAGAACCUUACCAGGGUUUGACAUCCUGCGAAUCCCUUGGAAAGCGAGGGAGUGCCUUCGGGAACGCAGUGACAGGUGGUGCAUGGCUGUCGUCAGCUCGUGUCGUGAGAUGUUGGGUUAAGUCCCGCAACGAGCGCAACCCACGUCUUUAGUUGCCAGCAUUUAGUUGGGCACUCUAGAGAGACUGCCGGUGAUAAACCGGAGGAAGGUGUGGAUGACGUCAAGUCAUCAUGCCCCUUACAUCCUGGGCUACACACGUACUACAAUGCUACGGACAAAGGGCAGCAAACUCGCGAGAGCUAGCAAAUCCCAUAAACCGUGGCUCAGUUCAGAUCGUAGGCUGCAACUCGCCUACGUGAAGGAGGAAUCGCUAGUAAUCGCAGGUCAGCAUACUGCGGUGAAUACGUUCCCGGGCCUUGUACACACCGCCCGUCACACCAUGGAAGUUGGCCACGCCCGAAGUCGUUACUCCAACCCUUGUGGAGGAGGAUGCCGAAGGUGGGGCUGAUGACUGGGGUGAAGUCGUAACAAGGUAGCCGUACCGGAAGGUGCGGCUGGAUCACCUCCU